GGUAGCGUGGCCGAGUUGGUCUAAGGCGUUGGAUUUAAGAUCUCUUGAUUCCCAAUGGGCGCAAGUCCGCGCGAGUUCGAACCUCGCCGCUACCA